UACGGAGGGCGCAAGCGUUUUUCGGAAUCAUUGGGCGUAAAGCGCGUGUAGGCGGUCUGGUCAGUCGGGUGUGAAAUACCGGAGCUCAACUCCGGAACUGCAUUCGAUACUGCCAGGCUAGAGUCCCGGAGAGGGUGGUGGAAUUCCCGGUGUAGAGGUGAAAUUCGUAGAUAUCGGGAGGAACACCAGCGGCGAAGGCGGCCACCUGGACGGUGACUGACGCUGAGAAGCGAAGGCGUGCGGAGCAAACAGG
rnacentral:rRNA from 1 species